CUGACGUCAUGUGAUCAAGGUCAGGAUCUAGAGGUGUGGAUGCCAGUCAGGGCUCCGGUACUGCAGUCAGCUAUGGGGAGGUGCUCACAACCAUAAGUGCUUCUGGAGCCACAGUGGAAUGAGUCUGGAGGGCUCCACAGGAGUGUCCUGACGUGCAGAAGCUGUGGCCAUCUAGUCCUGGGGCUUCUCUCUGACCCAUGUGUUAUAGCAAACCUCAGUUAGGUGCCAGUGAGAAGACCCAGGACGCAAGGGGAGAUCACCAAGGAGUAGGACCAGUUCUCCACAGACCACCACCCUGAGUUCUAGGAGACAUAAUGUUGGAUGGGGACGUACUCCAGAAGACGGGCCACUUGGCCACAGCAGCUCUGAGGGAACACUAGCAUUGGCACUUGGGCAAGGCUUCCGAGCCACCCUGGGUUCCUGAGUUUUUCUCACUGUGGAACUUGAGACAGCAAGGCUAGGAAGUGUGACCUGAUCCUGUGGCUCACACUACAGUGCUGAGGG
rnacentral:lncRNA from 1 species